GCCUGACCAGAGCAUACACACCCCAACUCCUUCUUCUAGUUGGAUACCCCAUUUGUGUGUUCAGUUCUGAGUUUCUCUUCUGCACUGUCCUGUGCUUUUGUAGAACUGGGAAGGGAGGAGUGAUACCCCCAUCUUCCCUGGCACAUAUUUAUCAUCCUUCAGAUCCUCCUAAUACAGCCUCCUCCAGAACACUGUGACCUUCAGCAAUCUUGAGACAGUGCAUUGUCAGUAGCCUUAGUGUUGAAUGCCACCAAGCCCCAAGCGAUGCAGGUCAAGCUCCCCAUGAACUCCAUCGCCGGGCUACUUCAUGUCUUGGCACCAGAGACUUACAGAUCCCAGUAGUCAGCAAGAACUCAGCUGAGGAUGGAGGUGCCAGUCUCUGCUUCUUGCAGAACACUCUGAUGUUGACAAGUGAUUUUCUCAAUGUUCCAACAGGGCCACAGGGAGAAAACACUUCCCUUUCUCCCCUUCCAUGACAUGGAGAGGAACAAGAAUGGCCUCCAACUGUGAACACAGCAUGCCCCUCACUGUAGCCCACUUCCCAGUCUCCCUUUUAUUUCGUCUAGAAGCCAGGCAUGAAGCUCUGAUCUAUAAUCUGUGAAUAAACUCUUGGGAAAGC
rnacentral:lncRNA from 10 species